GACGAACGCUGGCGGCGUGCCUAAUACAUGCAAGUUGAGCGAUGAAGAUUGGUGCUUGCCCCAAUUUGAAGAGCAGCGAACGGGUGAGUAACGCGUGGGGAAUCUGCCUUUGAGCGGGGGACAACAUUUGGAAACGAAUGCUAAUACCGCAUAGCAACUUUAAACAUAAGUUUUAAGUUUGAAAGAUGCAAUUGCAUCACUCAAAGAUGAUCCCGCGUUGUAUUAGCUAGUUGGUGAGGUAAAGGCUCACCAAGGCGAUGAUACAUAGCCGACCUGAGAGGGUGAUCGGCCACAUUGGGACUGAGACACGGCCCAAACUCCUACGGGAGGCAGCAGUAGGGAAUCUUCGGCAAUGGACGAAAGUCUGACCGAGCAACGCCGCGUGAGUGAAGAAGGUUUUCGGAUCGUAAAACUCUGUUGGUAGAGAAGAACGUUGGUGAGAGUGGAAAGCUCAUCAAGUGACGGUAACUACCCAGAAAGGGACGGCUAACUACGUG
rnacentral:rRNA from 1 species